UUCUGGCUCAGGAUGAACGCUGGCGGCACGCUAACACAUGCAAGUCGAGCGGAGCAACUACUCGGUAGUAGCUUAGCGGCGGACGGGUGAGUAACACGUGGGUAACCUACCCCAUACAGGGGGAUAACGUAUAGAAAUGUACGCUAAUACCGCAUAAGCCAACAGGGAGGCAUCUUCUGGUUGGAAAAAGCGCUAGUGGUAUGGGAUGGGCCCGCGACUGAUUAGCUGGUUGGUGAGGUAAGGGCCCACCAAGGCGACGAUCAGUAGCCGGUCUGAGAGGAUGGACGGCCACAUUGGGACUGAGACACGGCCCAGACUCCUACGGGAGGCAGCAGUGGGGAAUAUUGCACAAUGGGGGGAACCCUGAUGCAGCGAUGCCGCGUGAAGGAAGAAGUAUUUCGGUAUGUAAACUUCUAUCAGCAGGGAAGAAGAAAGACAGUACCUGAGUAAGCAGCCCCGGCUAACUACGUGCCAGCCGCCGC
rnacentral:rRNA from 1 species